ACCGGUCACUUUCUUUCUGUCC
rnacentral:piRNA from 1 species